AUUGAACGCUGGCGGCAGGCCUAGCACAUGCAAGUCGAGCGGAUGAAGGGAGCUUGCUCCUGGAUUCAGCGGCGGACGGGUGAGUAAUGCCUAGGAAUCUGCCUGGUAGUGGGGGAUAACGUCCGGAAACGGGCGCUAAUACCGCAUACGUCCUGAGGGAGAAAGUGGGGGAUCUUCGGACCUCACGCUAUCAGAUGAGCCUAGGUCGGAUUAGCUAGUUGGUGGGGUAAAGGCCUACCAAGGCGACGAUCCGUAACUGGUCUGAGAGGAUGAUCAGUCACACUGGAACUGAGACACGGUCCAGACUCCUACGGGAGGCAGCAGUGGGGAAUAUUGGACAAUGGGCGAAAGCCUGAUCCAGCCAUGCCGCGUGUGUGAAGAAGGUCUUCGGAUUGUAAAGCACUUUAAGUUGGGAGGAAGGGCAGUAAGUUAAUACCUUGCUGUUUUGACGUUACCAACAGAAUAAGCACCGGCUAACUUCGUA
rnacentral:rRNA from 1 species